rnacentral:tRNA from 1 species
GGAUGUAGCUUAGUUGGUUAAAGCGCCGGUUUGUGGCACCGGAGACCGUGGGUUCGAGUCCCAUCUUC